rnacentral:lncRNA from 1 species
GGUACUGAAAUACAGUGGUAAGUAAGGGUUUGAUGAAGCACUUAUUUAAUGAAUUAGUGAAUGAAUACAUCAAUUUAACAAGUCUUGAGAUUAUAGUGCCUAGUCAUAACGCAAAACCACUGAGGUCUUGCUUUCAAACUAGCAAUUAUUUCCCCAUUAUCAUCAUCCUGGCCAUAAAUCACAUUGUAAAGGAAAUGACUUUUACUGUGAACAAAGAAGAGGCUUUUAUAUAACAAGCAAGUUUAAUGCUAAUGUAAAUAGAGCCAGUUGACAAUGGCUUUAAUAUAUCUAGGGGAUACUCAUUAGUGCCUGGCAUUAUUUUGAUGAAAAAAAAAAAAGGAUAAAAAGAUUCACCCUCAAA